UGCUGCGCUUGAAGACUCGACACCCCCCCUGAGUGGCGGCUCUGUGAUGGCUCUCAGUUUCGCUCGUCAUGUCCCUGGCAGCUUUGACACAGGGAGCAAAACAAGGACUCUAAGCUGCCACUGGGCACUGGGCUCAUCCAUGGCUUUCAGCCUUCAAGAGGACUGAAGUCCGCCUUUAAGUUGCAGGGUUGUAGCCGCUGCUGAUGAGCUGUGGCAUGGUGAAGGAGGAUGAUAGGGUGCCUGACGAAGUCCGGAUGGGGACCAGCGACUCGCCCUGCUCUUGGCUUUGCAGCACCUUUGUGCUGCUGCUGUAGGAUCAUUAUUGGCCCUUUACUGCAGCAUAAAAUACAUGAUGUAUGAGGAUAAUCUGCUACAGUUUUUCAAAAACCGUCCACUACGGAGGCGCCCUGGACCAACAGGUUAAGGCACACCGCUUCAAAGAAUGGACCAUGAGUUCUGCAGUUAUCUAACUAUCUUUAGUCCCACUCUCCUGUAUACAUUUCUACUCACUGAUGCAGAGCAGUGAGGGUGUGGGCUGAAAUAGAGGGCUACUCCAUUUUUGAGGACAGAUGGGCAAAGCCAACACAAAGCUCUAUGUAACCUCUGUUCAACAUACAUUUUUCACUCCCUGUAGCCACAUUUCUGGCCCCUAGAUUUGGAGCUGACUUUACUGCUUCUGCUGAUUAGUGUGAACACAGAAAGUGAGUCUUGACAGAACCACCGUGAGGUCUUGACCACGAUGUCAUAAAGUCAACCCUCAUUUCGUCAGCCCCAUUGAUAUUUUAAACAUUGUAAUGGACCUUUGAAUCCAAAUAUUGGCCUCUGUGUCUCUGAAAUACUGUACUGCAGUGAUGACGGCAUGCAUUUAUGUACUUAUUUAAUAUCGAUGCCUGUGUUUGGCAAUAACAUAAUUACUCGAUCAGUCGACUGAGAAAAAUUAUCGACAAUUUUAAGAAUCAAUUGUCAUUUACAGUAUCACACAAAAAUACAAAACACUCAUUGUUUCAAACUUCUCAAAUGUGAGGAUUUUCUG